CUCAGAAUCAACGCUGGCGGCGUGCCUCAGACAUGCAAGUCGAACGAUUAAACUUUCCUUCGGGAAAGAUAUAAAGUGGCGCACGGGUGAGUAACACGUAAGUAAUCUACCUUCGAGUGGGGAAUAACCCGGGGAAACCCGAGCUAAUACCGCAUAAUGCAGCGGCAUCGCAAGAUGACAGUUGUUAAAGAUUUAUCGCUUGAAGAGGAGCUUGCGGCAGAUUAGCUAGUUGGUAAGGUAAUGGCUUACCAAGGCUACGAUCUGUAACCGGUCUAAGAGGACGGUCGGUCACACUGACACUGAAUAACGGGUCAGACUCCUACGGGAGGCAGCAGUCGGGAAUUUUGGGCAAUGGGCGAAAGCCUGACCCAGCAACGCCGCGUGAAGGAUGAAGUAUUUCGGUAUGUAAACUUCGAAAGAAUAGGAAGAAUCAAUGACGGUACUAUUUAUAAGGUCCGGCUAACUACGUGCCAGCAGCCGCGGUAAUACGUAGGGACCAAGCGUUGUUCGGAUUUACUGGGCGUAAAGGGCGCGUAGGCGGCAAUUCAAGUCAUCUGUGAAAUCUCCGGGCUUAACUCGGAACGGUCAGAUGAUACUGCUUUGCUAGAGUGCAGAAGGGGCAAUCGGAAUUCUUGGUGUAGCGGUGAAAUGCGUAGAUAUCAAGAGGAACACCUGAGGUGAAGACGGGUUGCUGGGCUGACACUGACGCUGAGGCGCGAAAGCAGGGAGCAAACGGGAUUAGAUACCCCGGUAGUCUGGCCCUAAACGAUGAAUACUUGGUGUCUGG
rnacentral:rRNA from 1 species